rnacentral:rRNA from 1 species
AGUUUGAUCAUGGCUCAGGAUGAACGCUAGCGGCAGGCUUAAUACAUGCAAGUCGAACGGGAUUCGGGGUAGCAAUACUUUGAUGAGAGUGGCGCACGGGUGCGUAACGCGUAUGCAACCUACCUUUAACAGGGGAAUAGCCCCGAGAAAUCGGGAUUAAUACUCCGUAACAUUGCGGUGUGGCAUCACACUGCAAUUAAAGAUUUAUCGGUUAAAGAUGGGCAUGCGUGACAUUAGCUAGUUGGUGAGGUAACGGCUCACCAAGGCAACGAUGUCUAGGGGUCCUGAGAGGGUUAUCCCCCACACUGGUACUGAGACACGGACCAGACUCCUACGGGAGGCAGCAGUAAGGAAUAUUGGUCAAUGGGCGCAAGCCUGAACCAGCCAUGCCGCGUGCAGGAAGACGGCCCUAUGGGUUGUAAACUGCUUUUGUCAGGGAAUAAACCCCCGCUCGUGAGCGGGGCUGAAGGUACCUGAAGAAUAAGCAUCGGCUAACUCCGUGCCAGCAGCCGCGGUAAUACGGAGGAUGCAAGCGUUAUCCGGAUUCAUUGGGUUUAAAGGGUGCGCAGGCGGAUUGGUAAGUCAGGGGUGAAAUCCACAGCU